rnacentral:rRNA from 1 species
CUGUAGCCGGUCCCAAGGGUAUGGCUGUUCGCCAUUUAAAGUGGUACGCGAGCUGGGUUUAGAACGUCGUGAGACAGUUCGGUCCCUAUCUGCCAUGGGCGUUUGAGAAUUGAGGGAAGCUGCUCCUAGUACGAGAGGACCGGAGUGGACGAUCCCCUGGUGUUCCGGUUGUCACGCCAGUGGCAUUGCCGGGUAGCUAUGAUCGGACAGGAUAACCGCUGAAAGCAUCUAAGCGGGAAGCCUCUCCCAAGAUUAAUUCUCACUAGACUCUUGAAGUCUCUGAAGGUCCGUCGAAGACUACGACGUUGAUAGGCUGGGUGUGGAAGUGCAGUAAUGCAUGAAGCUAACCAGUACUAAUUGACCGUGAGGCUUGACCAUAUAACACCCAAGAAGUU